rnacentral:rRNA from 1 species
CUGGCGGCGUGCCUAACACAUGCAAGUCGAACGGGACUCAGCUGAUGGUAACUGAUGUUGAGUUUAGUGGCGGACGGGUGAGUAACGCGUGAGUAACCUGCCUUUCAGUGGGGGACAACAGAGGGAAACUUCUGCUAAUACCGCAUGAUACAGCGAGAUCGCAUGGUCUUGCUAGUCAAAGAUUUAUCGCUGAAAGAUGGACUCGCGUAUGAUUAGAUAGGUUGGUGAGGUAACGGCCCACCAAGUCGACGAUCAUUAGCCGGACUGAGAGGUUGAACGGCCACAUUGGGACUGAGACACGGCCCAGACUCCUACGGGAGGCAGCAGUGAGGAAUAUUGGGCAAUGGGCGCAAGCCUGACCCAGCAACGCCGCGUGAAGGAAGACGGUCUUCGGAUUGUAAACUUCUUUUGUCAGGGACGAAUAAUGACGGUACCUGGCGAAUAAGCCACGGCUAACUACGUGCCAGCCGCAGC